UACGAAGGGGGCUAGCGUUGUUCGGAAUUACUGGGCGUAAAGGGCGCGCAGGCGGCUCUUCAAGUCAGAUGUGAAAGCCCCGGGCUCAACCCGGGAACUGCGUCCGAUACUGGCAGGCUUGAAUUCGGGAGAGGGAUGUGGAAUUCCAGGUGUAGCGGUGAAAUGCGUAGAUAUCUGGAGGAACACCGGUGGCGAAGGCGGCAUCCUGGACCGAGAUUGACGCUGAUGCGCGAAAGCCAGGGA
rnacentral:rRNA from 1 species